rnacentral:rRNA from 1 species
UACAGAGGGUGCGAGCGUUUAAUCGGAAUUACUGGGCGUAAAGCGCGCGUAGGCGGCUUCGCAAGUCGGAUGUGAAAUCCCCGGGCUUAACCCGGGAACUGCAUUCGAGACUGCGUUGCUAGAGUAUGGGAGAGGGAGGUGGAAUUUCAGGUGUAGCGGUGAAAUGCGUAGAUAUCUGAAGGAACAUCAGUGGCGAAAGCGACCUCCUGGACCAAUACUGACGCUCAUGUGCGAAAGCGUGGGGAGCAAACAGGG